CCCCUCACAGGGUCGCGCCUGGAGAAUUUCCAGAACUCUACCAGUCUCGACUAUGGGAGGGAGAGUCAAGCAGAGGCCUACCCAUUCCUUUCCUAGCUAGGGCAGUGGCUAGCAAGUGGAAGACCAUCUGCUACAAGU